GCCGCUGGAGCCGUGAGCCGUGCCUUUUGGAGAUGGCAACAGAAAUACUGGAAACCCAAGCGGCUGGGAAUUGCCCCGUUCUUCCAGGUCAUCGUCGGCGGAAUGGUGUUUCCCUGUGCCAUCAACUGCACCACAGGAACUACAA
rfam:Aedes aegypti strain Liverpool supercont1.607 genomic scaffold, whole genome shotgun sequence.